rnacentral:rRNA from 1 species
UACGUAGGGGGCAAGCGUUGUCCGGAAUCAUUGGGCGUAAAGAGCGCGUAGGCGGCCCAGUAAGUCCGCUCUGAAAGUCAGGGGCUCAACCCCUGAAUGCGGGUGGAUACUGCUGGGCUAGAGUCCGGAAGAGGCGAGUGGAAUUCCUGGUGUAGCGGUGGAAUGCGCAGAUAUCAGGAGGAACACCAAUAGCGAAGGCAGCUCGCUGGGACGGUAUUGACGCUGAGACGCGAAAGCGUGGGGAGCGAACAGG